ensembl:lncRNA
CACUGAAUAUAUUGUUUGUUUAUUUCUAGGAGAGCGUCAACCCAUUGAAAAGUGUACAGUUUGCAACAGAAAGCAUUAGGAGAGAGGAGAAGAGAGACGGUGAAAAGGCACUCAACAGAUGUUGGUGAGACUGCAUUUCUGGAAAUGCAUUAAAGGUCACUCACAUUCUAGUUAGCCACACAUGUAAACCAGAUUUUAGAUAGAAUUUAAAUGAGAUUAAUAACUCCAGCUACUUGCAGGCCUACAGUCCUGUAUAUUUCACACUAAAUUGUGAUGCAGCCUGAAUCAUAAUCACACCAUGUUCAUUUGUUAGCCAGAGGGGAAUUGAUUCUUAAACUAAACAUACCGCAUCAUUGCAUCAUUAUUUUUCUUUUUAUCACUGUAUGUAAGUUAUUUAAAUAUAUCUUACAAUAUACUGGAUAUACACAAAAAUAGAAUAAAUCUGGAUUUUUUUUUUAACAGCACUGUACACCAGCAUUUAUGUUCAGUAGUGUGACAUUAAUGUGUGGAAAUGUACAUUUUUUUUUUCAUUGUGUGAUUGUUAUUUUCAGGAAAAUGCACUGGUGACAACUAAAAAAAGAAGACCAAAAAUAUAAUUCAACAGAAGAUGAUGGCUGUGGAUGAUAGCACUCAAAUAACGGUGAGCAGUAAUCUACUUUAUUUAUUUGAUCUUUUAUUAACUACUAUCUUUAUAGUUUAGAAUACCUAAUAACUGCUAUUGUUUUUCAGGAACUAAGACCUGUGGGAGUGCUGGAGAAAUCAAGUGUACAAGUCCUCUGUCUCCUCAGCCGUGUAAAGAUCUUCAGACAUGAAGACACUGAGGAGUUAAAUGAAAACAAAAAAUGCAUGUUAUUGUGCAAGGGGUAGUUGCAUGGACUAUCAGUGGAGGGUCAGAAAGCUCUGAGAUUUCAUUAUAAAGAUCUUAAUUUGUGUUCUGAAGAUGAACAAAAGACUUGUGGGUUUGGAACGACAUGAGGGUGAAUAACCGAUGACAGAAUUUUCAUUUUUGGGUGAACUGAGCUUUUAACUUUUUACCUGGAGUAUUCAAAGACAUUGCGUACCUUUACAUGGACAACAAUAAUCAGAUUUUAACACGAUUAAGACAAUAGGCUGAUUAAGAAUCUACCAUGUAAACAGAGAUUUGAUUAACUUAAUCCGGCUUAAGUCAUAUUCUAAAUUGAAUUAAGACGUGGAGUAUUCCUAUUUUAGUCACAUUAUUGAAGUGCAGUAGAUGUGUAAACACCUUAAUCACAUUAUUACCGUCGUGUAGGACUUUUUGCCACAGAACUUUUUUUUUUUAUGACAGGAUACACACACGGCAGUGGUCACCCGUUUGACGGCAAAUAAAAGCUUUAACACCGCCA